rnacentral:rRNA from 1 species
UUCCUACGGGACGCAGCAGUGGGGAAUAUUGGGCAAUGGGCGCAAGCCUGACCCAGCAACGCCGCGUGAAGGAAGAAGGCUUUCGGGUUGUAAACUUCUUUUAUCAGGGACGAAGCAAGUGACGGUACCUGAUGAAUAAGCCACGGCUAACUACAUGCCAGCAGCCGCGGUAAUACGUAGGUGACAAGCGUUGUCCGGAUUUACUGGGUGUAAAGGGCGUGUAGCCGGGCUGACAAGUCAGAUGUGAAAUCCGGGGGCUCAACCCCCGAACUGCAUUUGAAACUGUUGGUCUUGAGUAUCGGAGG